UACGAAGGGGGCUAGCGUUGCUCGGAAUCACUGGGCGUAAAGCGCACGUAGGCGGCUUUUUAAGUCAGAGGUGAAAUCCUGGAGCUCAACUCCAGAACUGCCUUUGAUACUGGAGAGCUGAGUCCGGGAGAGGUGAGUGGAACUGCGAGUGUAGAGGUGAAAUUCGUAGAUAUUCGCAAGAACACCAGUGGCGAAGGCGGCUCACUGGCCCGGAACUGACGCUGAGAUGCGAAAGCGUGGGAGCAAC
rnacentral:rRNA from 1 species